rnacentral:rRNA from 1 species
AACGAACGCUGGCGGCAGGCUUAACACAUGCAAGUCGAACGGACCCUUCGUGGUCAUCUGCGGACGUCUGAUUAACACGUGGUAACUUACCCUUUAGUUCGGAGUCACUCUGUGUAACUAGCGCUAAUACCACAGACGCCCUUAUGGGGUACGGCUUGCUGCCGAAUGAUCGGGGCGCGUCAGAUUAGCUAGUUGGGGGGGUAAUGGCAUAGCAAGGCGACGAUCAUUAGCUGGUCUGAGAGGAUGAUAAGCCACACUGGGACUGAGACACGGCCCAGACUCGUACGGGAGGCAGCAGUGGGGAAUAUUGGAGACUGGGCGCAAGCGUGACAAAGCCAUGCCGGGUGAGUGAUGAAGGCCUUAGGGUUGUAAAGUUCUUUUGUACGGGACGAUAAUGACGGUAAUGGAAGAAUAAGCACCGGCUAACUUCGUG